AUUGAACGCUGGCGGCAGGCCUAACACAUGCAAGUCGAGCGAGCGGCGGACGGGUGAGUAAUGUCUGGGAAACAGCCUGAUGGAGGGGGAUAACUACUGGAAACGGUAGCUAAUACCGCAUACCAUCAGAUGUGCCCAGGGGGGAUUAGCUAGUAGGUGGGGUAAAGGCUCACCCAGGCGACGAUCCCUAGCUGGUCUGUGAGGAUGACCAGCCACACUGGAACUGAGACACGGUCCAGACUCCUACGGGAGGCAGCAGUGGGGAAUAUUGCACAAUGGGCGCAAGCCUGAUGCAGCCAUGCCGCGUGUGUGAAGAAGGCCUUCGGGUUGUAAAGCACUUUCAGCGGGGAGGCGUUACCCGCAGAAGAAGCACCGGCUAACUCCGUGCCAGCAGCCGCGGUAAUUC
rnacentral:rRNA from 1 species